ensembl:lncRNA
AGCGCGAGCGGCGAGAGAAAGCGAGAUUAGAUUAGAUUUGAUUAGAUCAAAGUUAAAUGAGUCCCGUGGGGAGGAAACAGGGACGCACGGGCGAGAUUAGGAAACAAGGAGCACCGGGGAGAGGAAUUAAAAGGGGAGUACCUUUUCACCUCCUGUUGGUAUUCUUUUACUGCAUUGGCAGUAUGUUUGGGAUCAUUGUUGAGCUGAAAAAUGAAACUGCAGCCAAUCAGACACUUUCCAGAAGGCAUUUCAUGGUGGAUCAAACUCUGAUGCAGGAAGCGUCUUUGGCUCAAAAUGGCAAAACAAGUUUGACCCACUGGCUGAAACACCAAGCUUUAAAUCAGCUCCUGAGAAAACCAGGAGACGUGUCACACAUCGCUGGACCUGUUUUUAUUUAAUCUAUGGGAACAAGCAAG